rnacentral:rRNA from 1 species
GUGAGGGAAAGUUGAAAAGAACUCUGAAUAGAGAGUUAAACAGUACGUGAAACUGCUUAGAGGUUAAGCCCGAUGAACCUGAAUAUCCGUUAUGGAAAAUUCAUCAUUAAAAUUGUAAUAUUUAAAUAAUAUUAUGAGAAUAGUGUGCAUUUUUUCCAUAUAAGGACAUUGUAAUCUAUUAGCAUAUACCAAAUUUAUCAUAAAAUAUAACUUAUAGUUUAUUCCAAUUAAAUUGCUUGCAUUUUAACACAGAAUAAAUGUUAUUAAUUUGAUAAAGUGCUGAUAGAUUUAUAUGAUUACAGUGCGUUAAUUUUUCGGAAUUAUAUAAUGGCAUAAUUAUCAUUGAUUUUUGUGUUUAUUAUAUGCACUUGUAUGAUUAACAAUGCGAAAGAUUCAGGAUACCUUCGGGACCCGUCUUGAAACACGGACCAAGGAGUCUAACAUAUGUGCAAGUUAUUGGGAUAUAAACCUAAUAGCGUAAUUAACUUGACUAAUAAUGGGAUUAGUUUUUUAGCUAUUUAUAGCUAAUUAACACAAUCCCGGGGCGUUCUAUAUAGUUAUGUAUAAUGUAUAUUUAUAUUAUUUAUGCCUCUAACUGGAACGUACCUUGAGCAUAUAUGCUGUGACCCGAAAGAUGGUGAACUAUACUUGAUCAGGUUGAAGUCAGGGGAAACCCUGAUGGAAGACCGAAACAGUUCUGACGUGCAAAUCGAUUGUCAGAAUUGAGUAUAGGGGCGAAAGACCAAUCGAACCAUCUAGUAGCUGGUUCCUUCCGAAGUUUCCCUCAGGAUAGCUGGUGCAUUUUAAUAUUAUAUAAAAUAAUCUUAUCUGGUAAAGCGAAUGAUUAGAGGCCUUAGGGUCGAAACGAUCUUAACCUAUUCUCAAACUUUAAAUGGGUAAGAACCUUAACUUUCUUGAUAUGAAGUUCAAGGUUAUGAUAUAAUGUGCCCAGUGGGCCACUUUUGGUAAGCAGAACUGGCGCUGUGGGAUGAACCAAACGUAAUGUUACGGUGCCCAAAUUAACAACUCAUGCAGAUACCAUGAAAGGCGUUGGUUGCUUAAAACAGCAGGACGGUGAUCAUGGAAGUCGAAAUCCGCUAAGGAGUGUGUAACAACUCACCUGCCGAAGCAACUAGCCCUUAAAAUGGAUGGCGCUUAAGUUGUAUACCUAUACAUUACCGCUAAAGUAGAUGAUUUAUAUUACUUGUGAUAUAAAUUUUGAAACUUUAGUGAGUAGGAAGGUACAAUGGUAUGCGUAGAAGUGUUUGGCGUAAGCCUGCAUGGAGCUGCCAUUGGUACAGAUCUUGGUGGUAGUAGCAAAUAAUCGAAUGAGACCUUGGAGGACUGAAGUGGAGAAGGGUUUCGUGUGAACAGUGGUUGAUCACGAGUUAGUCGGUCCUAAGUUCAAGGCGAAAGCCGAAAAUUUUCAAGUAAAACAAAAAUGCCUAACUAUAUAAACAAAGCGAAUUAUAAUACACUUGAAUAAUUUUGAACGAAAGGGAAUACGGUUCCAAUUCCGUAACCUGUUGAGUAUCCGUUUGUUAUUAAAUAUGGGCCUCGUGCUCAUCCUGGCAACAGGAACGACCAUAAAGAAGCCGUCGAGAGAUAUCGGAAGAGUUUUCUUUUCUGUUUUAUAGCCGUACUACCAUGGAAGUCUUUCGCAGAGAGAUAUGGUAGAUGGGCUAGAAGAGCAUGACAUAUACUGUUGUGUCGAUAUUUUCUCCUCGGACCUUGAAAAUUUAUGGUGGGGACACGCAAACUUCUCAACAGGCCGUACCAAUAUCCGCAGCUGGUCUCCAAGGUGAAGAGUCUCUAGUCGAUAGAAUAAUGUAGGUAAGGGAAGUCGGCAAAUUAGAUCCGUAACUUCGGGAUAAGGAUUGGCUCUGAAGAUUGAGAUAGUCGGGCUUGAUUGGGAAACAAUAACAUGGUUUAUGUGCUCGUUCUGGGUAAAUAGAGUUUCUAGCAUUUAUGUUAGUUACUUGUUCCCCGGAUAGUUUAGUUACGUAGCCAAUUGUGGAACUUUCUUGCUAAAAUUUUUAAGAAUACUAUUUGGGUUAAACCAAUUAGUUCUUAUUAAUUAUAACGAUUAUCAAUUAACAAUCAAUUCAGAACUGGCACGGACUUGGGGAAUCCGACUGUCUAAUUAAAACAAAGCAUUGUGAUGGCCCUAGCGGGUGUUGACACAAUGUGAUUUCUGCCCAGUGCUCUGAAUGUCAAAGUGAAGAAAUUCAAGUAAGCGCGGGUCAACGGCGGAGUAACUAUGACUCUUGGGAUCAUGGGGUAUUUGAGAGCAGAGGGGAGUAUUCUUCUGUAAUUCGUAAGUCAUAUCAUAUGUGUGCGGAAGGGGAAUUUUACUCUGUAACUCACAAGUCUCUCCUUUACUCAAGUCGACUCAAAACCUCCUCGUGGUGGUCCCCGGUAAUGCUAAACUCGUUUAGCAGCUAAUUU